UAGGGGAAAGUAAGAUGAAGGAGUUCUUCCAGUUCAAUGCCUCUUCACACUCUUUCCCCUCCA
rnacentral:pre_miRNA from 1 species